UGACGGAGGCAGAUCAUGUUGAGGUAGUAGAAGGCUCGGGUAAGCUUGAAAAAUUAACAGGUGAUGCCAGGGAUUACCUCAAUACCAAAAGAGUUGGGAAAUCAAGGGAUCAAGAGGCAGAACAGGUUUCUACUGAACAACGGGUUUUACCAAGGGAUCAAGCAGAGCAAAUUGAUGUUGUGAUCAAUGAUAAAGGGAAUGCCAAGGCACCACUA
rnacentral:lncRNA from 1 species